UACGGAGGGUGCAAGCGUUAUCCGGAUUUACUGGGUUUAAAGGGUGUGUAGGCGGACUAUUAAGUCAGCGGUGAAAUCUCCGGGCUCAACCCGGAAACUGCCAUUGAUACUAUCUUUCUUGAAUACCGUGGAGGUCAGCGGAAUAUGUCAUGUAGCGGUGAAAUGCUUAGAUAUGACAUAGAACACCAAUUGCGAAGGCAGCUGGCUACACGAAUAUUGACACUGAUGCACGAAAGCGUGGGGAUCAAACAGG
rnacentral:rRNA from 1 species